rnacentral:rRNA from 1 species
AACGCGAAGAACCUUACCUACCCUUGACAUCCUGCGAAUUAGAUUGAGAGAUUUGAGUGCCGAAAGGAGCGCAGAGACAGGUGCUGCAUGGCUGUCGUCAGCUCGUGUUGUGAGAUGUUGGGUUAAGUCCCGUAACGAGCGCAACCCUUGUCCUUAGUUGCCAUCAAGUAAAGUUGGGGACUCUAAGGAGACUGCCGGUGAUGAACCGGAGGAAGGCGGGGACGACGUCAAGUCAUCAUGGCCUUUAUGGGUAGGGCUACACACGUGCUACAAUGGGGCGUACAGAGGGUCGCGAACCUGUGAAGGGGAGCCAAUCUCUUAAAGCGUCUCGUAGUCCGGAUUGGAGUCUGCAACUCGACUCCAUGAAGUUGGAAUCGCUAGUAAUCGCGAAUCAGCAUUGUCGCGGUGAAUACGUUCCCGGGCCUUGUACACACCGACGCGUA